rnacentral:rRNA from 1 species
GUAGGUCCCGAGCGUUGUCCGGAUUUAUUGGGCGUAAAGCGAGCGCAGGCGGUUAGAUAAGUCUGAAGUUAAAGGCUGUGGCUUAACCAUAGUACGCUUUGGAAACUGCUUAACUUGAGUGCAAGAGGGGAGAGUGGAAUUCCAUGUGUAGCGGUGAAAUGCGUAGAUAUAUGGAGGAACACCGGUGGCGAAAGCGGCUCUCUGGCUUGUAACUGACGCUGAGGCUCGAAAGCGUGGGGAGCAAACAGGACUAGAUACCCUGGUAGUCCACGCUGUAAACGGUGGGUACUAGGUGUGGGGUCCAUUCCACGGGUUCCGUGCCGUAGCUAACGCUUUAAGUACCCCGCCUGGGGAGUACGGCCGCAAGGCUA